UCAACUAUGUGAAAGAGAAUAACAAGAAAAAGAAUUUCGAUGCCAACUCUCCAAAGGGCAAGGGCAAAGGCCCCAUGCAGCAUCAACAAAAGAAAUUCACAGUGGAGAAAGAUCAGUGUCUUCAUUGCAAGAAGACGGGGCAUUACAAGAAAGACUGUCCCGAAUUCUUGAAAAUGAUAAUGGCAAAGAAAGGGAUUCCGUUCGACGAGGACUACGCAAAGAAGCGAAAGACACGUUAAAGUCGCAAAUGGAGUCCAAGCAGAUGUUGAAGCCGUUGGCGACCUUCCUCUGGAGCUUGCUGAUGGAUUCACAUUAAUUCUUAGAGAUGUGCUUUAUGUUCCCUCUUUACAGAGGAAUUUGAUUAGUGUUUCAUGUUUGGACAAUGAUGGAUAUGAUUGCCAUUUUGGAAAUGGCAAAUGUAAGAUAACAUUCAAUAAUGCAUGUGUUGGGAUUGCUAUCUUACAAAAUGA